rnacentral:rRNA from 1 species
GACGAACGCUGGCGGCGUGCCUAAUACAUGCAAGUCGAACGCAGUGGGGACGGGUGAGUAACACGUGGGUAACCUCCCAUCAGAGGGGAUAACACUUGGAAACAGGUGCUAAACCGAUACUGAUGGAUGGACCCGCUGUGCAUUAGCUAGUUGGUGAGGUAACGGCUCACCAAGGCCACGAUGCAUAUACGACCUGAGAGGGUGAUCGGCCACAAUGGGACUGAGCCCCGUCCCUGACUCCUACGUGAGGCAGCAGUAGGGAAUCUUCGGCAAUGGACGAAAGUCUGACCGAGCAACGCCGCGUGAGUGAAGGAGGUGUUCGGAUCGUAAAACUCUGUUGUUAGAGAAGGGGUAUCUAACCGGAGAGCCACGGCUAACUACGUGCCAGCCGCCGCGGUAAUUC